UUUCAAAUGUUAGAUUUUGUUCGAGUUCUGAUCGUGGCAGAUUUUCGGCUCAAUCUUGACUCAACUCGGGCAUUGGGUCGGGUCGGAUGUCGGGUUGGUCAAGUCGGGUCGGCAUUUUGGGGCCUCUUGCCAUCGCUUCGCAGGUUCCGGCCGUCCAGUCUGCCCCACCCCCCCCCCACCACGCACGAAGGAAGGAGGAGGGCAGAAAUGGUGAGGGCGUGCCGCGUCGUCCUGCAACAGGCCGGCAGCAGCAUCAGCAAGGCCCUCUCCGACUUCCUCGUCUGCCCUCUUUCCAAGAAACCCCUCAGGUAUUGCGAAGAUUCCCAAUCUCUAAUCAGCGACGCUAUUGGUGUUUCUUUUCCGGUUUAUGCGUCCCUCUCAGUAAGACGAUCUACUUGACUUUGAUUUGGUCCGCUCUAGAGUAUACUUAAUAUUCAUCCUCUUCAUUAGGUCCUUCAAGUCUAACUGUUUGUAAUGGGACUGACGGAGCAACCAAUGCGACUUUCACCCUCCACAGUAUAUGGACUAGCCUAAUCUGCAGAUUCAGCAUAUUCAUCAGCCCCAAAUUUCUUACUCUUUGCUCAUUUUCUGCAAGAGACCUUUCUGUAUUACGUGAUUCAUAUGGUGGUUCAUAUUGAAGUACAAUACUGCUGGAGUUCGUUACUCUUAUUUCAAAACAAACCCGAACCCUAUUCCGCUGAGUAGGGAUUGCCCUUGCAA